UACGUAGGGGGCGAGCGUUAUCCGGAAUUACUGGGCGUAAAGCGCACGCAGGCGGCUCGCCAAGUUUGGUGUGACAGUUGUCGGCUCAACCGACAAAGGACUUCAAAAACUGGUGAACUUGAGGACGAGAGAGGAACAUGGAACUCCAGGUGUAGUAGUGAAAUGCGUAGAUAUCUGGAAGAACACCAAUGGCGAAGGCAAUGUUCUGGCUCGUUUCUGACGCUCAGGUGCGAAAGCCAGGGGAGCGAACGGG
rnacentral:rRNA from 1 species